rnacentral:lncRNA from 1 species
UAAUUUCUGAUUGCCUGGGACUCCUUGGGAAAAACAAAAAAGGUGCCACAGAUUCCAUUUUGGGAGCAACCUCUGUUUUCCUUAUGGAACCCCAGGAAUUAGAUGCAGAUAGAUCCCUCUCAAAAUCUAGUUUUGUCUUCUACCUAUACCUGUUUAUUAGUCCCUAGAAACUGCUUGUUUUCCUAGCCCUGCUUUUAAAAGGCCCCACUUGAGACUAGUAAUCCAAUUGAGAGAUUGGCAAAUGAAAAAUCUUAUAACUACUGGAUUUUCUGUUUGUCUGUGUAGUUAUAUAUGUUGUAUGUGAUGUAUAUAAAAAAUAGCUAUAUUUAAUUGGCUUAAAGAAAAAUAAGCUCUUAGAUCAAAGUUUUUGAAGGAAAAGUAAAAGCUGUACUGCUUUUUAGUUCACAUGACUAAUCUUUGAGAAAUAAAAACAGUCUUAAAGAUUAUAGGAAAAUACAAAUGUCAUUAAAAUGUAAAUAGGUGAUCUAAAUUGUGCAAGUCAGAUACUAGGUUUGCUAAAUGUUUUAAGGUUGCAAACUGCUUUUUUGGCCUUUGAGAGCUGUUUGACUGGCCACCAUGCCCUUAACUAUGCUGGAAGGAAUCAAACUUCAUCAGCACUUAAUGCAUAAUUAAAACAACUUACCAGGUUUUACACUAAAAUUAAAAUUUGCCGUUUAAUGGUAAAGAAUUAUCAUUAUAACAUGUAAUUGAGACCACUUAAAAUGGAUUUACAUGCAAGGUGUGUAAGAAUGGUAAAAUGUGUUUUUAGUGAAAGAUUAUAAGAAAGCAUGAAAAUGGAAAUAUUUGCCUAGAGCUAAAGGAUUGUUUUAAAUUAGAUAAAAUAAAGCUAAAGGUUUAAACAAGUUAUGGGAUGUUUUAAAAAAUUAACCUUGCAAAAUAAAUUCAAAUGGAUAUUAUAUGGUUUUUCUGUAAAUUGAGCAUUGAAGUAAAAACACAACAAGGUUUCCUUAAGGCACUAAUCUGCUCUUUAGCAAAAUGUGUAAAGCGUUAUAAAAGUUUUAUAAGAAUCUCACCUCAUGGUUAAACUGGUUAAGUUCGGAUAGAAUUGUCUAUAAGGUUUCAUUAGAAAAGCUGGGAUUGACAUAAACGGUAAACUAAUGUAAGUGUUAUAUUUGGCUUUCUCUCCCUUGUACAAGAUUUUCAUAUAACAGUAAAGGAUAAUGAAUGAUUUUCAUUUGCCUUGUGGAUAGACUGUCAAGGAGAAGAAAGAGAAGACAGGAGACAAACUGUUUGGAAUGCGAAGUCUUCCCUCUUAAAGAGUUAAGUUUUUUGCUAUUUAAACAUUUUUUGAGUCAUCAUUUUGGCAAAAUAAUAACUUAGGGUAAUCUGAAAUUCUGUUUCAUAAUAUCAAGUGCUUCAAAACUCUAACAUUAAACAGGCUUCCCAAAAUCAAAUUUUAGCUUCAAGGUUGUCUUUCUUGACCUCUAGCUGUUGGAUGCUAGAGAGGGCCCCUGGGGCAUCCAAAAGAGGUAAACAGGAUUAAUUGACAUGUUUAGGUACGUGGACUUGCCAAAAUGAUGCUUAAUCUUCUUCAGGUUAUAUUUAAGUGAAUAAUAUUAAUAUAUGUUACAAAAUCGUAUGGGAUUCCUAAAAUUUUUAAUGUCUGAGCAUAUGCUAUCAAUCAUAAUUAAGGUUAUUAUGUUAAGUUAUUGUAAACCACAGAGAUAACCAAAUUUCUUUGUCAAUUGUGUUUUUAACUGUAACUACCUUGGAUGUUUUCUUAUUAACAGAGAAUUGUUGUCUUGUUUUGAUUCUCUUCAAAAGAGUUUAUAAUCAGC